rnacentral:rRNA from 1 species
UACGGAGGGGGCUAGCGUUGUUCGGAAUUACUGGGCGUAAAGCGCGCGUAGGCGGACCUGCAAGUCGGGGGUGAAAGCCCGAGGCUCAACCUCGGAACUGCCUUCGAUACUGCGGGUCUCGAGUCCGGGAGAGGUGAGUGGAAUUCCUAGUGUAGAGGUGAGAUUCGUAGAUAUUAGGAAGAACACCAGUGGCGAAGGCGGCUCACUGGCCCGGUACUGACGCUGAGGCGCGAAAGCGUGGGGAGCAAACGGG